UAUGCACGCUGGCGGCGUGCUUAACACAUGCAAGUCGAACGGUGAAGGCGGAGCUUGCUCUGCUGGAUCAGUGGCGAACGGGUGAGUAACACGUGAGCAAUCUGCCCCUGACUCUGGGAUAAGCGCUGGAAACGGCGUCUAAUACUGGAUACGAGCUGCGAAGGCAUCUUCAGCAGCUGGAAAGAAUUUCGGUCAGGGAUGAGCUCGCGGCCUAUCAGCUUGUUGGUGAGGUAAUGGCUCACCAAGGCGUCGACGGGUAGCCGGCCUGAGAGGGUGACCGGCCACACUGGGACUGAGACACGGCCCAGACUCCUACGGGAGGCAGCAGUGGGGAAUAUUGCACAAUGGGCGAAAGCCUGAUGCAGCAACGCCGCGUGAGGGACGACGGCCUUCGGGUUGUAAACCUCUUUUAGCAGGGAAGAAGCGAAAGUGACGGUACCUGCAGAAAAAGCGCCGGCUAACUACGUG
rnacentral:rRNA from 1 species